rnacentral:rRNA from 1 species
CACUUGUGCUCGAGUGGCGAACGGGUGAGUAACACGUAUCCAACCUGCCGAUGACUCGGGGAUAGCCUUUCGAAAGAAAGAUUAAUACCCGAUGGCAUAGUUCUUCCGCAUGGUAGAACUAUUAAAGAAUUUCGGUCAUCGAUGGGGAUGCGUUCCAUUAGGUUGUUGGCGGGGUAACGGCCCACCAAGCCUUCGAUGGAUAGGGGUUCUGAGAGGAAGGUCCCCCACAUUGGAACUGAGACACGGUCCAAACUCCUACGGGAGGCAGCAUG